CUUUGAUAAAUCAACCUCUUCUGCUGUCCAAAAGGAGGCCUGGGCCUGUUUGUACAUCUUCCAUAUGUCCGGGUGUUGGAUGGGGAAGAUGACGAACCGACGGGGAUUUUUUCUGAGAAGAGGCUCCUCGUGAGGUUUCAAGCCAUUUUCAGCUGCACUCGGAGAGGAGCUCCGCUCCGGCCCAGCCGCCUCCUGCAGGGCCGCUCGCCCCCGGCGCUCCCCC
rnacentral:lncRNA from 1 species